rnacentral:tRNA from 1 species
GGGAAAGUGGCUCAGUGCUAGAGUGCUUGCCUUGCAUGCAUGAGGCCCUGGGUUCGAUUCCUCAGCACCA